GCUUUCCCUAGUGGUCAGCGUGUGAUUGGAUUCUGGGCGCUGCAUUUCUAAUGCUCGCCCGUAAUUGAUUAGCAAAUCGAAUCCGACUCGGAUUGACUCGGCGUAAUAGACUAUUCGCUGAGGACGAGAUGGACUGAUGGCUUCUAAUUUAAAGUCAACCUUUAGACCUCAGAUCAGGCAGGAUUACCCGCUGAACUUAA
rnacentral:misc_RNA from 1 species